AAGCCUUUCACCUUCCAACAUGAUUGUGAGGCCUCCCCAGCCACGUGGAACUGCAGUCGAGUUCCAUACAUUUAUUUCAACCCUUCUUGAACCUACCCAUGUGGAAGGCAGAAGCGCUGGGACAUGACCACCCAACUCAGCUCUGAAGCAGCCCUCACACAAUGACGGGUUAACAUCAUGCUACUUGAUAAGCACCCUCGGAACUACAAAUUGAAAGAAUACUAAGAGAAGCAAGAAAAUGGACGCUUAGCCCUGAUGGGAAAUCAUACCUCGUUUCGUGACAAUCUAUUACAUUCAUGUCAAGAGGAAAGGUUGGACAACUUAUUUGUCUUUUCUCUUACCUAAGUCGUUCGUCUGCUCAAAUC
rnacentral:lncRNA from 1 species